GUCUUAUGAAGUAAAAAUGUCAGAGGGUAUUAGAAAGUCUUGCACCCUCCGACCUUGCAGAGGUGUGUGGCCACGUACAGAGUAUGUUUACAUCCGGUAGUCAGAGAUUCUGUGCCUGGAGAGGGCUCUAGAAAUACAGCAGGCCAUCAGCAUCACUGGUGUGACAGAUACCCAAAACCCACCCCCACCCUGUGUUUAAGUAUCUUCUAUCGGUGUGAACAUGCACUGUUGUCCGUGGCUUAGAACAUGCAGUCAUAAGAUGAUCUUCAGCGUUUGGUUUCCUGGCAGCUCCGCAGUGAUCCUCCAGCUGUCGUGAGCUGUGACGUCACAGACUCAAAAGACUCCAGAGACUGUGGCCUCCUCGAACCUCUGAAGCCGUGAGCCCGAACGAGUCUUGCCCCGUUUAACGAUGAUUUAUCUUGGAUUCUUGUUAGAGAAACAGAAAGUCAACCAGCAGGGGAGGAGAGAGGCUUCCUUUCUUUAUCUUGGGGACUUUUACUCCAAGACACGGUGCUGCUGACCCGGAUUGCAGGUCGAGGGACCUCAGCAGCUUGGUGGGUUCCCUCACGUGUGCUUCUGUCCUCUGCAUGCUCCGACACCAGCUAGCCUUGGAAUCCACAGCUCCUGCGAGCAUUUUCGCCCAGAGGCAGCAUCCCGUGUUUGCUUCCAGCUUAGCGAAGCACCUCGGAUUCCUCAGUUGUUAUACCCCAGGGAAGCGGCUUCCACAGCUCUCCCCGAGGACAAAGACCUUCUCAGAUCCUUGAUGCUGAGCUGUAAACAUGCCUGGGAGCUAUGAACUGAACUGAGACUUUACUGUACCGGAAAGGAGCAGCACGCAAGGUGAUGGGGUUACUGCAUUAACUGCCGUGAGGACCACUAUGGCAGCUUUGGUGGGCACUGGCUGCAGAGUGUGGGAUACCCGGGUGGGUGUCUGCGUCUGAUGCACAUGGCCUGUGAACACUGCGUCAGCAUGGGCGAGGCGGAGGAGCUGCCAUCUCUCACCCAGAAAAAACGCUUUCUGGACCCUGCAGCGUGGCUCCAGGGACGCCUGCCCGCGGUAAACGCACCGAUCUGUGGCCGGAAAUGGCAAUCCCUGCGUGCCAGGAGUCCGGCUUUCUUCCUUUGGUUUUGCCUCUUCUGGAGAACAGCAGAGUAGAAAGACAAAUCAGCCAGACACGCUUCCUAGCGAGCACACCACUGAAUAGUGUUAAUUCUCCUCCAGCCAUGACGGAAGCACUCUGACUUCACCUGAAUUAAAAAACAAAUUCGAAUAAAACACCUGAUACAAAUACAGAAGUGCCUGUUGGCAAAAUUCACACCAUGUUUCAAAAUUAAUUCCCAAGCUCGCUGGCAUUUACUUUUGCUUUAGAAAGGGGGAAAUGGCCUUCCUUUUCAGUCUUUAACUGUAUUUUACUAUUACGGAGGGAAAUUAGAGUGUAUGGAAUACAGAAAUUGAAUUAUAAUCCAGUACAAUGAACUUCUCUUUCCAGAAAGUCAAAUGCUGUUUGCAUUGAAGCUGACAUGUUCCUUUGGGAUCCGUCUAAAGAUUUUACCUUUCUUCCUCAUAUACGCCACAAAUUAAAUUGUCGCGACUUAAUUCAACUUCAUUCAUUUUCUUUUUGUGCAGACGGGGCUAUUAUAAUCAGGCUGUCCGAGACAAAAGUGGGUCAUGCCUUUCCAGAGACAGUUUAGAGCUCACAAAAGAUGACUAGAAGUCACUGAAAAAAUAACAUCCAGGCAUUUGAUGAAGGUGGCGGCAAAAAUCUGAUUCUGCCUAAAGUGGUACAGGAGCCGGCGGGUUUGGAGAUCGGGGGCCAGUGAUUCAUUACUUUAGAAGGUCCUCUGGCUGUUUAGCGAGCUUUGCAUCAAUUUCUACUCUUUUUUUUUCUGAUUACAAUCAUUACUCUAAAAAUGUACGUAGAGGGGGCUGGCUGGCUCUGCAGUAUGUUGGAAAACCCAGCAGAGCGCCCUCCCUGGCCUGGUUGGGCCACAGUGUCUCCCAAGACAGAGUUUUCAGCUACCAAUAACUAGCGUGUUUCAGAGAGAAGCAGAGUUAGACCGUCGCCCGUGCACUAAAGGCAUUUUGUUGUGGGAUGCUGUUACCGCGGAGGGAGAACCACACUCAGCUGCGGAUUUACAACGAAAACAUUGUGAGGGGCAGUGGAUGUGACGUCAGAAGGCGAGGCGUCCAAAGCAGGGAAUUCAUGGGGCUGGAGACAUGGCUCAGCGGUUAAGAGCACUGGCUGCUUUUGCGGAGGACCCGGGUUUGAUUCCCAGCACCCACACUACAGCUCACAGCCGUCUGUAACUCCAGUUCCAAGGGAUCUGACUCCCUUUAUUGGGCUCCAUGGGCACUGCAUGUACAUGGUGUGCAUAUAGGUGUAUGAUUCAGGUACACACACGUGCACGCAAAGUAUUUUUAUUAAGAAUUAAAUAGAGUAUAUGCCAGUUUGAAACCCUUUUUUGUGGCGCCUGUUCCUCUCCUGAGCUGGUCAGAGCUGUAGACCAUAGAACACGACCUCUCUUGAGCAGCAGCGGGGCUGAGAGCCAAGCUCAUGGCUGCACGGAUGAGAAUUCGCUCACCGCCCUGGUAGACCUUGUAAUGAGAUUGAUCACUGAUGAGUCACAGAAGCGACGGCGAGGCGAGGUCAGCCUGCCCCAGCCAGCCCUGGUGUCGCACUUGUGGGUGUUUUAAGCCACCAUCUGCUGUCAUUUUUCUCUCUUAGGCUGGAUAUUGAACUUAAUGGUCUUAAGUUUAAAAACUGAAAUUCAUGUCUUGGGACAAUGUCUAUCAUAUUUAAUAAAUAGGCUGAAUGUUA